UGCGUAGGCGGGCUGCCAAGUUUGGGGUGAAAUCCUCCGGCUCAACCGGGGAAGUGCCUUGAAUACUGGCGGUCUGGAGGGAGGUAGGGGCGUGCGGAACUGUAGGUGGAGCGGUGAAAUGCGUUGAUAUCUACAGGAACUCCGGUGGCGAAGGCGGCACGCUGGACCUUUUCUGACGCUGAGGCACGAAAGCCAGGGGAGCGAACG
rnacentral:rRNA from 1 species